AUUGAACGCUGGCGGUAGGCCUAACACAUGCAAGUCGAACGAGUGGCGGACGGGUGAGUAAUGUCUGGGAAACUGCCCGAUGGAGGGGGAAAAAUACUGGAAACGGUAGCUAAUACCGCAUACCAUCGGAUGUGCCCAGAUGGGAUUAGCUAGUAGGUGGGGUAACGGCUCACCUGGGCGACUAUCCCUAGCUGGUCUGAGAGGAUGACCAGCCACACUGGAACUGAGACAAGGUCCAGACUCCUACGGGAGGUAGCCGUGGGUAAUAUUGCACAAUGGGCGCAAGCCUGAUGCAGCCAUGCCUCGUGUAUGAAGAAGGCCUUCGGGUUGUAAAGUACUUUCAGCGAGGAGGCGUUACUCGCAGAAGAAGCACCGGCUAACUCCGUGCCAGCAGCCGCGGUAAUAC
rnacentral:rRNA from 1 species